UACGGAGGGGGCUAGCGUUGUUCGGAAUUACUGGGCGUAAAGCGCGCGUAGGCGGCUUUGCAAGUCAGAGGUGAAAGCCCGGGGCUCAACUCCGGAACUGCCUUUAAGACUGCAUCGCUAGAAUUGUGGAGAGGUAAGUGGAAUUCCGAGUGUAGAGGUGAAAUUCGUAGAUAUUCGGAAGAACACCAGUGGCGAAGGCGACUUACUGGACACAUAUUGACGCUGAGGUGCGAAAGCGUGGGGAGCAAACAGG
rnacentral:rRNA from 1 species